AUACAUUCACACUCCUUUCUGUGAGUGACUGGAGCACUCCCAUGCAGCACAACUAUAGUGGAGACUGUUCAAGGACAACAGGCUUUAUAGUGCAAAUGUAACAACUGUAAUAAAAUGCCUAAUGAAGUUGAAAAUGUAUGCUGCUUGGAAAUACAAAAGGUUGUGAGGCGAAUGAACCAGGUUUCAGGCCCUCUACAAUGCAUGACACACCACCCAGGCUUCGAACCUAACUGUUUAAUUCCUUAAACCCUCCAGACCAUUAAUAACAUUUACAGAGCUGAUUUUGGAUCCCUGAGGCGAAGAACAGAAGAGUAAUUUUUUUUUUAAAAUGUAAUCUUAUUUCU